rnacentral:rRNA from 1 species
AUUGAACGCUGGCGGCAGGCUUAACACAUGCAAGUCGAGCGGAGAUGAGGUGCUUGCACCUUAUCUUAGCGGCGGACGGGUGAGUAAUGCUUAGGAAUCUGCCUAUUAGUGGGGGACAACAUUCCGAAAGGAAUGCUAAUACCGCAUACGUCCUACGGGAGAGAGCAGGGGAUCUUCGGACCUUGCGCUAAUAGAUGGGCCUAAGUCGGAUUAGCUAGUUGGUGGGGUAAAGGCCUACCAAGGCGACGAUCUGUAGCGGGUCUGAGAGGAUGAUCCGCCACACUGGGACUGAGACACGGCCCAGACUCCUACGGGAGGCAGCAGUGGGGAAUAUUGGGCAAUGGGGGGAACCCUGAUCCAGCCAUGCCGCGUGUGUGAAGAAGGCCUUAUGGUUGUAAAGCACUUUAAGCGAGGAGGAGGCUACUGAGACUAAUACUCUUGGAUAGUGGACGUUACUCGCAGAAUAAGCACCGGCUAACUCUGUGCCAGCAGCCGCGGUAA